UGACAUGAGUAGCGUUAAAGGGGGUGAAAAGCCCCCUCGCCGUAAGCGCAAGGUUUUCUACGCAACGUUCAUCGGCGUAGAGUGAGUCGGCCCCUAAGGCGAGGCAGAGAUGCGUAGCUGAUGGGAAACAGGUCAAUAUUCCUGUACCGAUGUGUAGUGCGAUGUGGGGACGGAGAAGGUUAGCUCAGCCAACUGUUGGAUAUGUUGGUUCAAGCCUGUAGUCGUGCCUGGUAGGCAAAUCCGCCGGGCUUAGAUGAGGGGUGAUAACGAGUCUGCUUGCAGACGAAGUGAGUGAUACCCAGCUUCCAGGAAAAGCCACUAAGCUUCAGCUACACACGACCGUACCGCAAACCGACACUGGUGCGCGAGAUGAGUAUUCUAAGGCGCUUGAGAGAACUCAGGAGAAGGAACUCGGCAAAUUGAUACCGUAACUUCGGGAGAAGGUAUGCCCCAAGUAGGUGAACUCGAACAGAGGGAGCCCAACGGGGUUGCAAAAAAUCGGUGGCUGCGACUGUUUAAUAAAAACACAGCACUCUGCAAACACGAAAGUGGACGUAUAGGGUGUGACGCCUGCCCGGUGCUGGAAGAUUAAAUGAUGGGGUGCAAGCUCUUGAUUGAAGUCCCAGUAAACGGCGGCCGUAACUAUAACGGUCCUAAGGUAGCGAAAUUCCUUGUCGGGUAAGUUCCGACCUGCACGAAUGGCGUAACGAUGGCCACACUGUCUCCUCCUGAGACUCAGCGAAGUUGAAAUGUUUGUGAUGAUGCAAUCUCCCCGCGGAAAGACGGAAAGACCCCAUGAACCUUUACUGUAGCUUUGUAUUGGACUUUGAACAGAUCUGUGUAGGAUAGGUGGGAGGCUUUGAAGUGAUGUCGCUAGAUGUCAUGGAGCCAACGUUGAAAUACCACCCUGGUGUGUUUGAGGUUCUAACCUAGGUCCAUUAUCUGGAUCGGGGACAGUGCAUGGUAGGCAGUUUGACUGGGGCGGUCUCCUCCCAAAGCGUAACGGAGGAGUUCGAAGGUACGCUAGUCACGGUCGGACAUCGUGACGAUAGUGCAAUGGCAUAAGCGUGCUUAACUGCGAGACUGACAAGUCGAGCAGAUGCGAAAGCAGGACAUAGUGAUCCGGUGGUUCUGUAUGGAAGGGCCAUCGCUCAACGGAUAAAAGGUACUCUGGGGAUAACAGGCUGAUACCGCCCAAGAGUUCAUAUCGACGGCGGUGUUUGGCACCUCGAUGUCGGCUCAUCUCAUCCUGGGGCUGUAGCCGGUCCCAAGGGUAUGGCUGUUCGCCAUUUAAAGAGGUACGUGAGCUGGGUUUAAAACGUCGUGAGACAGUUUGGUCCCUAUCUUCCGUGGGCGCUGCAGAUUUGAGGAAGCCUGCUCCUAGUACGAGAGGACCGGAGUGGACACACCUCUGGUGUAUCGGUUGUCACGCCAGUGGCAUUGCCGAGUAGCUAAGUGUGGAAGAGAUAACCGCUGAAAGCAUCUAAGCGGGAAACUCGUUUCAAGAUGAGAUCUGCCGGGGCCUUGAGCCCCCUGAAGAGUCGUUCAAGACCAGGACGUUGAUAGGUCAGGUGUGGAAGCG
rnacentral:rRNA from 1 species